rnacentral:rRNA from 1 species
UACGUAGGGGGCAAGCGUUGUCCGGAAUCAUUGGGCGUAAAGAGCGUGUAGGCGGCUCGGUAAGUCCGCUGUGAAAGUCCAGGGCUCAACCCUGGAAUGCCGGUGGAAACUGUCGAGCUAGAGUCCGGAAGAGGCGAGUGGAAUUCCUGGUGUAGCGGUGAAAUGCGCAGAUAUCGUCAAGAACACCGAUAGUGAAGACAGCUUACCAAGCUUCAACUGACGCUGAGGCACGAAAGUGUGGGGAUCAAACAGG